CUUGGCGCGGCAGGGCACGAACGCGGGGCGCAUGGGGUCGCUUAGCACGGUUUAAGUCGCCUUCAAAACUCACUUUCAUCUUUGCUGGGAAUAAGAGGAUGGAGACAGCAUUAUUUCAGCAUCAAGAAAACAGCAACUCUACGUUGAAACUUGGCAAGAUAAAAAGGAAAACAGAAGAUAAUAAAUACAAGCUAAAAUGGUAAUCUAACUGUUGUGGGAUUCUACAUGAAAAACACUGUGGACAAAUUAUAUGGACGUGUGAGCAAAGCCUGAUGUCUUCCUUACCGUGGGUGAGACUUCCCACUGCUCUGAUAUGGCAGCUCUUUCCUUGGGUCUCCUGGAGAUUUCUUUGAGCAAGGCAAUGCUGCUGACUGGUUCUCCUCUCCAGGAACGUGGGGUCUGCCUGGGAAAAGGGCUAUCAACAAUCCAAGGUCAUCUGUGCCUGUUCUCACUGUGUGUUGCUUUUGCUGGUAGCUGAUAAAGGCCCAACAUCUGAGUAACAGGAGUAGCCAGGGAAGCAUGUGUGGCUUCAUCCCAUUUUUGCAAUACACUCCCUGCCAAGCUGCACCAAGAGCUCUUUGCUGCAGAGCAGGAAUGGGCCUAUAUAUCCAACAAAAAAGGACCAGAGGGACUCAUUAAACUUCUAAACAUGACCUCAGACAGGGUUUUUUAAUUAUCUGAAAAUGUCACCAGUUUGCAUUAGAAAAUCUCAGGGUUUUCUAGGGCUUGGCCAGAUUUUGGUACCUUCUUUCAGUAACACAAAUCUAUCUCCUGUUCUGCAGUGUGAUACAGUCCUAGGCUAUUUUUUUUAAUGUGCAAAACAAAAUCAUUAUCCCACGAGUGAAUAUUGCCCAUCCUACAGUAAGUACUCGAGUGUUCACCAUUAAGUGACUAUCACAGCAACAAGUGAAGUCGAACCAGAAAUCCUCAGAGUAGUGACAUGUGGUGUAGGUUGCUACUUGGUGGUCACCAGUUCAGGUGCAUGCUGUGACAUUUGUUUCUUUGCAGCACACACAUCAACUGUGUGCUUGUGACAAGUUGGCAGUUUGUGGUUAGCUUUUCCUGUGAGCAGUGAGAGUACUGAGCAGGGAGGGUCUGAAGUUGCAUUCAAUGUCACCUGGACCACUACGAUAUUAAAUAAUAUAAUGUAAUAUGAUAAUGGAAACGUUCUUAAAGAUUGCUUCCCAGAACUGUUUUGGGAUAGAUCUCAGCAUCUUGGCAACUCUCCAGCUAGCAGAAAGCUUAUUUCUCCUAAGCAGUGCCUGUAACCAAAUGGCUUAGAUUGCUUUGAUGGAAGAGAUGCUUCCCUCCAGGGAUAUAUGCCUGGCACAGUACCGAAGUUGACCUAGUAGUUGGAAUAGGCAAAGUUUUGGAAAGAGGAACCCUAGACAGAUCCUAAAUUUUAACUUUUUUGCGAACUUCUGAUGAUCUUUAAUGAACAGGAAACCACUGCAUUGUGUACCUGUCCUCACUGUGAGUAACAAUUAUACUCUUUCUCUUCUCCAUUCCUCUUCCUUUUCUCUUUUGCCCCAGCAUUGGAUAGUUUUAUUUUGUAAAGUAGUUGAGAAGCAAGAGAGUUUUUUUGUUUUCUUUGCUUUUUCAAGUUCAACCCAGGAAGACUGCUAUUUCUACUUCUGGUAACAUCUCACCAAACAUCAGUACUUCCAUUCUGUUAUUCAGUAAGUUGUGAAUGAAAAUGUUUUUCUAGUUUCCUUACUUUUACUGCUUUGAUAGUAGUGUGUUUUAAUUGUCCUUAGUUGAGUUUCUUCUGGAUGUAUAUAUGCAAAGAAUGGGGAUGCAGGCUUGGUUUUGGUGGUGCUUGUUUGUGUUUUUUUAGAGGGAUAGAGGAUGCCUG